rnacentral:rRNA from 1 species
AGCGAACGCUGGCGGCAGGCCUAACACAUGCAAGUCGAACGAACCUUUCGGGGUUUGUGGCGGCCGGGUGAGUAACCCGUGGGAACGUGCCUUUAGGUUCGGCCUACCUCAGGGAAACUUGUACUAUUACCGAAUGUGCCCUUCGGCGGAAAGAUUUAUCGCCGUUAGAGCGGCCCGCGUCUGAUUAGCUAGUUGGUUGAGGUAAUGGCUCACCAAGGCGACGAUCAGUAGCUGGUCUGAGAGGAAGAUCAGCCACAUUGGGACGGAGACACGGCCGAAAAUCCUACGGGAGGCAGCAGAGGGGAAGGUUGCGCAAUGGGCGAAAGGCUGACGCAGCCAGGCCGCGUGAAUGAUGAAGGUCGUAGGAUAGUAAAAUGCUUUCACCGGGGACGAUAAUGACGGUACCCGGAGAAGAAGCCCCGGCUAACUUCGUG